rnacentral:piRNA from 1 species
CAAAAGAGAGGCCUUAAAGA